GAAAUGCGAUACGUAAUGUGAAUUGCAGAUUUCAGUGAAUCAUCGAAUCUUUGAACGCACAUUGCGCCCGCUAGUAUUCUGGCGGGCAUGCCUGUUCGAGCGUCAUUUCAACCAUCAAGCCUCUGUGCUUGUGUUGGAGCCCUGCGGCUGCCGCAGGCUCUCAAAUUCAGUGGCGGGCUCGUCGUCGUACCGAGUGCAGUAAAUUUACCACGCUCAGGGCACGCGACGGGUGACCAGCCGUAAAAACCCCCUAUAUUUUCAGGUUGACCUCGGAUCAGGUAGGAAUACCCGCUGAACUUAA
rnacentral:misc_RNA from 1 species